rnacentral:ncRNA from 1 species
AGCUAGAGUGCCGCUGAUGGGCUGCACAGACGAGGUCUGCUGCGGCAAAAAUCAGGGAACGGGGUGAAGGGCUUGCACAUGAGGCAAGGCCUGAUUCCCCGGCUGCCCCCGCAACUGUAAACGGCGAGCGACGCCCCGAUGCCACUGGCCCCAAAAGGCUGGGAAGGCAGGCGAAGCAGUGAACCGUGAGCCAGGAUACCUGUCCAUCACAUGACCGGGCGC